GGGCACAAGCCUGAUGCAGCGACGCCGCGUGAGGGAUGGAGGCCUUCGGGUUGUAAACCUCUCUUGUUAGGGAGCAAGGCACUUUGUGUUGAGUGUACCUUUCGAAUAAGCACCGGCUAACUACGUGCCAGCAGCCGCGGUAAUACGUAGGGUGCAAGCGUUAUCCGGAAUUAUUGGGCGUAAAGGGCUCGUAGGCGGUUCGUCGCGUCCGGUGUGAAAGUCCGUCGCUUAACGGUGGAUCCGCGCCGGGUACGGGCGGGCUUGAGUGCGGUAGGGGAGACUGGAAUUCCCGGUGUAACGGUGGAAUGUGUAGAUAUCGGGAAGAACACC
rnacentral:rRNA from 1 species